GGGGCUGAUCGGUUUCGACUGCGUGCGUCGAGGUAGGGGAAGCGUGUCGGUGCAGGCUAGAGACCACCGUAAGCGUCGUAGCAACCAAUUAAGCGCCGAUAAGAAUCAGCGCGACUACGCCCUCGCUGCCUGACAGCGACGGCUAGUCUGUCGGCCCGGGUCUGCUCCCAGCCCGGGUCCCGGCAUCAUCUCAGGGAGCUCACCGUUGUCGUCGGUCGCGGACGGCAGCGGGACAACAAACAGCGACUGGGAUCGUCAUCCUGGCUUGUUCGCGUGACCAGGAGAUCCGAGUAGAGGCAUAGCGGACUGCACACGGAGAAGCCCUACUGAAGCGACGGAGGACCCGGGUUCAAUUCCCGGCAGCUCCACAU
rnacentral:tmRNA from 1 species